GACGAACGCUGGCGGCGUGCCUAACACAUGCAAGUCGAACGGUAACAGGUCUUCGGACGCUGACGAGUGGCGAACGGGUGAGUAAUACAUCGGAACGUGCCCAGUCGUGGGGGAUAACUACUCGAAAGAGUAGCUAAUACCGCAUACGAUCUGAGGAUGAAAGCGGGGGACCUUCGGGCCUCGCGCGAUUGGAGCGGCCGAUGGCAGAUUAGGUAGUUGGUGGGAUAAAAGCUUACCAAGCCGACGAUCUGUAGCUGGUCUGAGAGGACGACCAGCCACACUGGGACUGAGACACGGCCCAG
rnacentral:rRNA from 1 species